UUGACCUCGGAUCAGGUAGGAAUACCCGCUGAACUUAAGCAUAUCAAUAAGCGGAGGAAAAGAAACCAACAGGGAUUGCCCUAGUAACGGCGAGUGAAGCGGCAACAGCUCAAAUUUGAAAUCUGGCCUCGGCCCGAGUUGUAAUUUGCAGAGGAUGCUUCUGGCGCGGUGCCUUCCGAGUUCCCUGGAACGGGACGCCACAGAGGGUGAGAGCCCCGUAUGGUCGGACACCAAGCCUGUGUGAAGCUCCUUCGACGAGUCGAGUAGUUUGGGAAUGCUGCUCUAAAUGGGAGGUAAAUCUCUUCUAAAGCUAAAUACCGGCCAGAGACCGAUAGCGCACAAGUAGAGUGAUCGAAAGAUGAAAAGCACCUUGAAAAGGGGGUUAAAUAGUACGUGAAAUUGUUGAAAGGGAAGCACUUGUGACCAGACUUGGGCCGGGCGGCUCAUCAGGGGUUCUCCCCUGUGCACUCCGCCCGGCACAGGCCAGCAUCGGUUUUCGCGGGGGGACAAGACCGCCGGGAACGUAGCACCCUCCGGGGUGUGUUAUAGCCCGGCGGACGAUACCCCCGCGGGGACCGAGGUCCGC
rnacentral:rRNA from 1 species